GCGGUAAGGGCCCUUCGGGGUACACGAAGCGGCGAACGGGUGAGUAACACGUGGGUGAUCUGCCUCGCACUUCGGGAUAAGCCUGGGAAACUGGGUCUAAUACCGGAUAUGACCUUUCAGUGCAUGCUGUUGGGUGGAAAGAUUUAUCGGUGCGAGAUGGGCCCGCGGCCUAUCAGCUUGUUGGCGGGGUAACGGCCCACCAAGGCGACGACGGGUAGCCGACCUGAGAGGGUGACCGGCCACACUGGGACUGAGACACGGCCCAGACUCCUACGGGAGGCAGCAGUGGGGAAUAUUGCACAAUGGGCGGAAGCCUGAUGCAGCGACGCCGCGUGAGGGAUGACGGCCUUCGGGUUGUAAACCUCUUUCGACAGGGACGAAGCGCAAGUGACGGUACCUGUAGAAGAAGCACCGGCCAACUACGUGCCAGCAGCCGCGGUAAUACGUAGGGUGCGAGCGUUGUCCGGAAUUACUGGGCGUAAAGAGCUUGUAGGCGGUUUGUCGCGUCGUCCGUGAAAACUUGGGGCUCAACCCCAAGCUUGCGGGCGAUACGGGCAGACUUGAGUACUUCAGGGGAGACUGGAAUUCCUGGUGUAGCGGUGAAAUGCGCAGAUAUCAGGAGGAACACCGGUGGCGAAGGCGGGUCUCUGGGAAGUAACUGACGCUGAGAAGCGAAAGCGUGGGUAGCGAACAGGAUUAGAUACCCUGGUAGUCCACGCCGUAAACGGUGGGUACUAGGUGUGGGUUUCCUUCCACGGGAUCCGUGCCGUAGCUAACGCAUUAAGUACCCCGCCUGGGGAGUACGGCCGCAAGGCUAAAACUCAAAGGAAUUGACGGGGGCCCGCACAAGCGGCGGAGCAUGUGGAUUAAUUCGAUGCAACGCGAAGAACCUUACCUGGGUUUGACAUACACCGGAAACCUGCAGAGAUGUAGGCCCCCUUGUGGUCGGUGUACAGGUGGUGCAUGGCUGUCGUCAGCUCGUGUCGUGAGAUGUUGGGUUAAGUCCCGCAACGAGCGCAACCCUUGUCCUGUGUUGCCAGCGCGUAAUGGCGGGGACUCGCAGGAGACUGCCGGGGUCAACUCGGAGGAAGGUGGGGACGACGUCAAGUCAUCAUGCCCCUUAUGUCCAGGGCUUCACACAUGCUACAAUGGCCGGUACAGAGGGCUGCGAUACCGUGAGGUGGAGCGAAUCCCUUAAAGCCGGUCUCAGUUCGGAUCGGGGUCUGCAACUCGACCCCGUGAAGUUGGAGUCGCUAGUAAUCGCAGAUCAGCAACGCUGCGGUGAAUACGUUCCCGGGCCUUGUACACACCGCCCGUCACGUCAUUAAAGUCGGUAACACCCUAAGCCGGUGGCCUAACCCCUUGUGUC
rnacentral:rRNA from 1 species